AUGGGAGGCUCCAGCCGGCCACUGGUACUGGGGUCAUGUGGGAGAGAAAGGGCCAGUUUGGGUCCGCAGCAUCUUCAGGCUGUGUGCAGAGCUGCCCCCCUUGUGGUCCUGGGACCCAGAAAUUUUCUACACCCACAGGUGGUCUCCCCUAAGGGCCCCCAGAGGGAUACCACUGUGGGUGGGCCUAGCGAGAAGGACACCAUGAGAUCUGCUGCAUGGCAAGGUGAGGCCAGAAGGGGAAGCACCCUGACCCCAGGACACUGGGCCCAAUGCCCGUCCUGCCCUGCUGCGCCCUGCCCUGUGCAUGGCAGGACAGAGUCCUUGGGCCUCAGGAGCCCAGCUCCCCACCCCAGCCCCACCCACAACACUCAGGGUCAGGCUGGCUGGGCUGGGCAGGAGGCGGCAUCCAGGCUCCCACUUCGCAAAGCUGCCCUGAGAUCUGCUGCCCCUUCCCCCAGACUUCCUGCCUCCACCACCGCAGUAGAGAUAAGGCCUCUGGGCUCAAAGGCCAGAGAGGGAGUCCGCAGGGAGGGCAGGGCUGGGAGCCACAGCCUCCCUGCCCCCAGGCCUAGAGCUGGGGUCUUGCCCCAACCUUGUCCCGACACAAGCCUGGCCAGGUGGCUGCUGGGACCCAGGUCCGUCUCCUGUUUGUCUGUGCUGGAGCUUCUUGGGGCUGUCCUCAGCCUAGAGGAGCGUGACGCAGCAGGCACCUUUUCAGUUCUUUCAACCCCAUCACCGUCCCCAACAGGGACCACAGCCCAUGACCCAGGAGGAGAGAGGCCCAUGUCCCCACCCCCAACCGGGCCACCAAGGGCGUCUGGGCAGCCUCUGCUAAGGGCUGUCAGGAGGGGGCCGAGGCCUGGGCCUGGGGCUCUAAGAGCAUCUGUGAACCUCUGCCCUGCGUCCCCCAAGCUUGGAAGCAGCCCCCAGAUGGAGAGCCAGAAGGGGACACCCUGGCCCUGCCUCACAGCUUGGGGGGUUGCUGGCAGAGGAGCAGAUACCCAGACUGCCCAUCCAGGGGAAGGGGCCCAGCCCUUGCCCCCCACAGGCAGUGGCUCCAGGCUGUCGGGGAGGAUCUGCCGCUGGAAUGGUUAA
rnacentral:lncRNA from 1 species